rnacentral:rRNA from 1 species
GAUGAACGCUGGCGGCGUGCCUAACACAUGCAAGUCGAGCGAAGCACAUUGCUAUGAAUCUUUCGGGAGGAAGAGCGAAGUGACUUAGCGGCGGACGGGUGAGUAACGCGUGGGUAACCUGCCUCAUACAGGGGGAUAACAGUUAGAAAUGACUGCUAAUACCGCAUAAGCGCACAGGACCGCAUGGUCAAGUGUGAAAAACUGAGGUGGUAUGAGAUGGACCCGCGUCUGAUUAGCUAGUUGGUGAGGUAAGGGCUCACCAAGGCAACGAUCAGUAGCCGACCUGAGAGGGUGACCGGCCACAUUGGGACUGAGACACGGCCCAAACUCCUACGGGAGGCAGCAGUGGGGAAUAUUGCACAAUGGGGGAAACCCUGAUGCAGCGACGCCGCGUGAGCGAAGAAGUAUUUCGGUAUGUAAAGCUCUAUCAGCAGGGAAGAAAAUGACGGUA